UCCAGACUCCUACGGGAGGCAGCAGUGGGGAAUAUUGGACAAUGGGGGGAACCCUGAUCCAGCGACGCCGCGUGAGUGAAGAAGUAUUUCGGUAUGUAAAGCUCUAUCAGCAGGGAAGAAAGAAAUGACGGUACCUGACUAAGAAGCCCCGGCUAACUACGUGCCAGCAGCCGCGGUAAUACGUAGGGGGCAAGCGUUAUCCGGAUUUACUGGGUGUAAAGGGAGCGUAGACGGCGAUGCAAGCCAGAUGUGAAAGCCCGGGGCUCAACCCCGGGACUGCAUUUGGAACUGUGUGGCUGGAGUGUCGGAGAGGCAGGCGGAAUUCCUAGUGUAGCGGUGAAAUGCGUAGAUAUUAGGAGGAACACCAGUGGCGAAGGCGGCCUGCUGGACGAUGACUGACGUUGAGGCUCGAAAGCGUGGGGAGCAAACAGGAUUAGAUACCCCCGUA
rnacentral:rRNA from 1 species